rnacentral:rRNA from 1 species
AACGCUAGCUACAGGCUUAACACAUGCAAGUCGAGGGGCAGCACUAGGUAGCAAUACUGAGGUGGCGACCGGCGCACGGGUGCGCAACGCGUAUCCAACCUUCCCGUUACUCUUGGAUAGCCUUCCGAAAGGGAGAUUAAUACAAGAUGGUAUCUGAAAUUCGCAUGUUCUUCAGAUUAAAGAUUUAUCGGUAACGGAUGGGGAUGCGUGACAGUAGAUAGAUGGCGGGGUAACGGCCCACCUAGUCUACGAUGGAUAGGGGUUCUGAGAGGAAGGUCCCCCACACUGGAACUGAGACACGGUCCAGACUCCUACGGGAGGCAGCAGUGAGGAAUAUUGGUCAAUGGGCGAGAGCCUGAACCAGCCAAGUAGCGUGCAGGAUGACGGCCCUAUGGGUUGUAAACUGCUUUUAUGCGGGAAUAAGAUCAGAUACGUGUAUCUGCGUGCAUGUACCGCAUGAAUAAGGACCGGCUAAUUCCGUGCCAGCAGCCGCGGUAAUACGGAAGGUCCGGGCGUUAUCCGGAUUUAUUGGGUUUAAAGGGAGCGUAGGCGGCCCUUUAAGCGUGCUGUGAAAUGUACCGGCUCAACCGGUGAAUUGCAGCGCGGACUGGAGGGCUUGAGUUCACGGAAGGCAGGCGGAAUUCGUGGUGUAGCGGUGAAAUGCUUAGAUAUCACGAAGAACUCCGAUUG